rfam:Triticum aestivum genome assembly, contig: Triticum_aestivum_CS42_TGACv1_scaffold_641070_T_2AS-0.210594_2AL-0.198985
UUGCUACUCCCUCCGUCCGAAAAUAGUUGUCAUCAAAAUGAAUAAAAAAAGGCGUAUCUAGAAUUAAAAUACGUCUAGAUACAUCCCUUUUAUUUAUUUUGAUGAUAAGUAUUUCCGGACGGAGAGAGUACUUG